rnacentral:rRNA from 1 species
GGUGAACGCUGGCGGCGUGCCUAAUACAUGCAAGUCGAGCGAACGGACGAGAAGCUUGCUUCUCUGAUGUUAGCGGCGGACGGGUGAGUAACACGUGGAUAACCUACCUAUAAGACUGGGAUAACUUCGGGAAACCGGAGCUAAUACCGGAUAAUAUUUUGAACCGCAUGGUUCAAAAGUGAAAGACGGUCUUGCUGUCACCUAUAGAUGGAUCCGCGCUGCAUUAGCUAGUUGGUAAGGUAACGGCUUACCAAGGCAACGAUGCAUAGCCGACCUGAGAGGGUGAUCGGCCACACUGGAACUGAGACACGGUCCAGACUCCUACGGGAGGCAGCAGUAGGGAAUCUUCCGCAAUGGGCGAAAGCCUGACGGAGCAACGCCGCGUGAGUGAUGAAGGUCUUCGGAUCGUAAAACUCUGUUAUUAGGGAAGAACAUAUGUGUAAGUAACUGUGCACAUCUUGACGGUACCUAAUCAGAAAGCCACGGCUAACUACGUG